GCGUUGGAUCUUUUUCGGCAGAUGUUGGAGGAAGGAGUGCAGCCUAAUGCUUACACAUUUGUUGCUGUUUUAAGUGCUUGUGCAGAUUUAGCACUUAUUGAGAGAGGGAUUCUGCAGAUGUGGAGGAAGAGCAAAAGAUGCUCGAAGAGGCAAUUAAAAAUGCUCGAGAGAGGGAUAGAAGAACAUUGUUACGAG